rnacentral:rRNA from 1 species
GAUGAACGCUGGCGGCGUGCCUAAUACAUGCAAGUCGAGCGAACAGACGAGGAGCUUGCUCCUCUGACGUUAGCGGCGGACGGGGGAGUAAAACGUGGAGAACCUACCUAUAAGACUGGGAUAACUUCGGGAAACCGGAGCUAAUACCGGAUAAUAUAUUGAACCGCAUGGUUCAAUAGUGAAAGACGGUUUUGCUGUCACUUAUAGAUGGAUCCGCGCCGCAUUAGCUAGUUGGUAAGGUAACGGCUUACCAAGGCAACGAUGCGUAGCCGACCUGAGAGGGUGAUCGGCCACACUGGAACUGAGACACGGUCCAGACUCCUACGGGAGGCAGCAGUAGGGAAUCUUCCGCAAUGGGCGAAAGCCUGACGGAGCAACGCCGCGUGAGUGAUGAAGGUCUUCGGAUCGUAAAACUCUGUUAUUAGGGAAGAACAAAUGUGUAAGUAACUAUGCACGUCUUGACGGUACCUAAUCAGAAAGCCACGGCUAACUACGUG